AAUAUUGGACAAUGGGCGCAAGCCUGAUCCAGCCACGCCGCGUGAGUGAUGAAGGCCUNCGGGUUNUNAAGCUCUUUCAGCGGGGNCGAUAAUGACGGUACCCACAGCAGAAGCUCCGGCUAACUUCGUGCCAGCCGCCGCGGUAAUACGAAGGGGGCUAGCGUUGUUCGGAAUUACUGGGCGUAAAGGGCGCGUAGGCGGACUGUUAAGUCAGGGGUGAAAUCCCGGGGCUCAACCCCGGAACUGCCUUUGAUACUGGUGGUCUUGAGUUCGGGAGAGGUGAGUGGAAUUCCGAGUGUAGAGGUGAAAUUCGUAGAUAUUCGGAGGAACACCAGUGGCGAAGGCGGCUCACUGGCCCGAUACUGACGCUGAGGCGCGAAAGCGUGGGGAGCAAACAGG
rnacentral:rRNA from 1 species